rfam:Desulfitobacterium dichloroeliminans LMG P-21439, complete genome.
AAGCGCCGUAUACCGAACGGUACGUACGGUGCUGUGGGAGGUCGGCCACUCAAAUAAUGGGUGGCCUCCUACCCGAU